CGGGGUGCACCAGGCGCGAAAACUUUACAAUGCCGGCAACGGCGAUAAGGGGACCUCGAGUGCCAGGUUACAAAUCUGGCUGUCGAGAUGCCUAAAAAGCAUUUCAUAGCAAGGGCCGGGCAAGACCGGUGCUAGCCGCCGCGGUAACACCGGCGGCUCGAGUGGUAACCGUUAUUAUUGGGUCUAAAGGGUCUGUAGCCGGCCGGAUAAGUCUCUUGGGAAAUCCAGCAGCUCAACUGUUGGGCUUUCAGGAGAUACUGUCUGGCUCGAGGCCGGGAGAGGUGAGAGGUACUUCAGGGGUAGGGGUGAAAUCUUGUAAUCCUUGAAGGACCACCAGUGGCGAAGGCGUCUCACCAGAACGGACCUGACGGCAAGGGACGAAAGCUAGGGGCACGAACCGGAUUAGAUACCCGGGUAGUCCUAGCCGUAAACGAUACUCGCUAGGUGUCGGCCACGGUGCGACCGUUGUCGGUGCCGUAGGGAAGCCGUGAAGCGAGCCACCUGGGAAGUACGGCCGCAAGGCUGAAACUUAAAGGAAUUGGCGGGGGAGCAC
rnacentral:rRNA from 1 species